GCAUUCCAGCCUGGGUGACAGAGUGAGACUCUGUCUCAAAAAACAAACAACAAAAAAAGAGAAUACUGUUUUUGCCAGGCCUUCCUGUCUGUUCUGCCCAGGAGGACAUGUGGGCACCAGUAAGCAGGUGUUUGCCCCAUUAGGCAAGCUGGACUUAUGGAAAUCUGAGUUUGCAAAACAGAAAAAUUAGCAGACUAUUCUUUGUUUUACAAAAUAACCCAGCUGUAGGAUCCUGUAAAUAGUCAUCAUAAAAAAUAGUGUAAAAUCUGAUUUGCUUUAAAAACAAGCAAACAAAAAAGGUGAUGUGAUAUCCAAACUUCCCAGAUUCUCAAAGUUGCAAAGAACAAGAUACCUACAACCGCGUGCCCGUGCCUCAUCACAGAGGGCUGAAAGGGGUUGGGGGAGUAGGGGCAGGUAGCUUGGGACUUCAAACAGACCCAGCAUUUGGUGACACAUGGUGGGCCCUGCAGUUCACUCGUGCAGGUUCCUGAGCUGGCCAAGCUAAGGGCUGGGCCCUUGCCCUGGGGCCUUGCAAUCCAGGGAUGAUGGAAAUCAGCCCCUGAGGAUGCCAGCUUCACCUCUGCUGUUUGCACAGCUUUGGGGCCAUGAAGGGCCUCAUGGGACAGCCUGCCACCCCCGGUCUUUGGUGGCCAGUGCUAUAGCAUGCACAUGGGUGUCCCAGGACAGGCCCCUCCAUUCCAGCUGGGUUCAGUGAGCUGCUCUGAAGGGCUUUGCCCAGACUGAGCCAGGCCCCUCCUGAGCUGGGUCAAGUUAACCAUUGACUGGGGCAGAGGUGGAGGGGCAGGGGGACAGAUAGGGGAAGCAAGUCAGCUAAUAUGUUGUAAGACAAAAACCCAGAACUCCCUCCCCCAUCCCUCUGCAGGGCCCCAAUGGCACUUAGGGAGCCUGCAGGAUGAGACGGGGGUACCCCGGAUAGGAAUGGGGAGAUGUUCCUAUCAGACAGCUGGAAAAAUGCUCCAGACUGGGGGGUCAGAGGGGUGGGCUCCAGUUCAGCAAGAGUUAACAGAAAACUACUCAGCAGUCGCUCUCUUGGAGGCCUGGAUUGACUCCAAGAGGCAGUGGGAUGAGUCCUGAGUGGAGACCAGGUUAGAGGCCUGGGUUCCUCUUUCCCACUGGGCUUGUCAGCCAUGGAGGCAGAACUGGAUGCCCUGACUGGAGUCUGUGCCUUGGUUUCCCCACCCACCACCCCUCUGCCUGUACCUGUAAUCCUGACUGCUCCAGGCUGGAGGGAGAAGAGAGGUGCUGCCAUUAUCCUCAGUGUUCCCCCUUCUCUGGAAGGCCAGGAGAUUGGAGAUCCUGGGGGUGUCCAGCCUGGUCGAGGUGACAAGUGGGGCAAAACCAAAGAUCAGUCUCUGGCAGGCUAUACCAGGUGCCGUGGGGAGGCGGGGCAGGCAGAAGCUGCAUUCUGAUCUGAGGUGGGUGGUGGGGCUGCCAUUGGAGGGGGCUCUCUCUUGUUUUCAUGCGAGGCGUUCCCUUCAAGGAGAUCUCAGCAGGGAGUCGGGGUGUGAGCAGCCAAUAUUAGGGGGACUGUGUUCCAGGCACUCUUCCAAAUGUUCCAUAGGUGUGAAAUUUUGAUCCCCACAGCCGCCCCUUAAGGUGGAUUCUCUAACCCAGUACACCCAUUUGCACCCCCUCAGCAAUUUUCCUGUUGAUGUUUGCAUUUGUUUCCUGUAGCUACCAUGAGUUACCAUGAACUCCAUGGCUUGAAACAACAGAAAUGGAUUCUUCUGACCUAUCCAGUAAGGCAGAAGUCAGAAAUGAGUUUAACUGGUCAAGACCAAGGAGUUGCCAGUGCUGUGAUCCCUCUGGAGGCUCCAGGGAGAACCUGUCCUUGAUUGCUCCAAGCUCCUGGUGACUGCAGGCACUCCUGGGCUUGUGGCCACAUCACUCCAAUCUCUGCCUCCUUUGUUUUCACUUCUGUGGGUUUGGCUAAACUCCCUCCACCUCUCUCUUAUAAGGAUACUUGGGAUGGCAUUUAGGGUUCACCCCGAUGAUCCAGGAUUCUCUCAUCUCAAGAUGUUUAACAUAA